GUGGGGAAUAUUGGACAAUGGGCGAAAGCCUGAUCCAGCCAUGCCGCGUGUGUGAAGAAGGUCUUCGGAUUGUAAAGCACUUUAAGUUGGGAGGAAGGGCAGUAAGUUAAUACCUUGCUGUUUUGACGUUACCGACAGAAUAAGCACCGGCUAACUUCGUGCCAGCAGCCGCGGUAAUACGAAGGGUGCAAGCGUUAAUCGGAAUUACUGGGCGUAAAGCGCGCGUAGGUGGUUUUGUAAGUUGGAGGUGAAAUCCCCGGGCUCAACCUGGGAACUGCCUCCAAAAGUGCAUGACUAGAGUACGGUAGAGGGUAGUGGAAUUUCCUGUGUAGCGGUGAAAUGCGUAGAUAUAGGAAGGAACACCAGUGGCGAAGGCGACUACCUGGACUGAUACUGACACUGAGGUGCGAAAGCGUGGGGAGCAAACAGGAUUAGAAACCCGGGUAGUCC
rnacentral:rRNA from 1 species